rnacentral:rRNA from 1 species
GAUGAACGCUGGCGGCGUGCCUAAUACAUGCAAGUCGAGCGAACAGACGAGGAGCUUGCUCCUCUGACGUUAGCGGCGGACGGGUGAGUAACACGUGGAUAACCUACCUAUAAUUCUGGGAUAACUUCGGGAAACCGGAGCUAAUACCGGAUAAUAUAUUGAACCGCAUGGUUCAAUAGUUAAAGACGGUUUUGCUGUCACUUAUAGAUGGAUCCGCGCCGCAUUAGCUAGUUGGUAAGGUAACGGCUUACCAAGGCAACGAGGCGUAGCCGACCUGAGAGGGUGAUCGGCCACACUGGAACUGAGACACGGUCCAGACUCCUACGGGAGGCAGCAGUAGGGAAUCUUCCGCAAUGGGCGAAAGCCUGACGGAGCAACGCCGCGUGAGUGAUGAAGGUCUUCGGAUCGUAAAACUCUGUUAUUAGGGAAGAACAAAUGUGUAAGUAACUAUGCACGUCUUGACGGUACCUAAUCAGAAAGCCACGGCUAACUACGUG